GGCAGCAGCUUUACCACUGCGCCAAGGCUCCCCUUCAUGCUGUACAAUACAUAUUAGAAAACCAGAAGAUGAUAUAUUGUUUCAAAGGGAGAUGACAGUGAACACACUUGUUGUAGCUUUAUUGCUAUUUGCUAAGCUUAGUUUGCAGGAUGUGUAUACAGAAUCAACCAACCGCUUGUCUGUCGACACAAACAAAACAGACACAUCAUCUACUACCAUACCCUUGCUAAGGUUGGAGCUUCAUUUGAAGAAGGGGAGGCCUAUAGAGCAAAAACGGGAUCAUCGUCCUUAUGCUUUAACCAAGUCCUUUUUCUGUGAAAAAAUGAAACAGUGAAAAGCUAGAUCAGCAAGCAAAGAAAGAACAAGGAAAAAAGCAAGGCACAUCCAAAACAGAGAAACCCAAGGUAGGGCGCAAACCAAUGUGAUAGGAAUUUGUGAAGCUACACCAGAAGAAAUAAAUACAUGCAAGCUUCACAACAGCCCAUGGAUUUGAUAUACCGAUCAAAAAGUGGUUAUAUUUAUGCAUCCACUCACAACCAUUGGCGAGACCUAGGUACAGAACCAUCAUGACACGAAAGGGGAAACUCAAAUCUAAAAAGAAGUAACGUGAUUUGAAAAGGCAGUUAAUACCAGAGUACCACUUCUCGUACUCAAAUUGAAAAACCAGCACAACUGACUAUUACACAACCACCUGUCAGACUCACUGCACUAUUUUGUAACUAUGGGUAAGUUUAAGAUCCACCAACUUGUAACGCCAAAACAAAACGAAUUUUAGAGUACCACUUCAAGCAGAAGCAAAGGAUGGAAUCCAAAUCAGAGAAGGAAAAAUGGUGUGGACCCAAAGAGAAGAACCCUUGCAAGCAUUUCAGGGGCAAAUAAAUAUAGGCCUGGAAAAGCGGUAGAAGCCCAGCGUGCAGGAGACACAACAUACCUGAUGCACAAGGUCACUAUACUGAUGGCACUCGUGUUAAUAGGAGUAUCUUCGUGUGUAUGGCAUAUCCUUGUUAUGACAUCAAUAAUCAAUGACAAACUACAUAAGCUUCCUGAAAUUGAUGAUAUGAUGAAAUCAGUUUGGGUAGUACUCCCUCCGUCCGGAAAUACUUGUCGUAGAAAUGGAUGAAAAUGAAUGCAUUUAGAACAAAAAUACGUCUAGAUACAUCCAUCUCUCCGACGAGUAUUUCCGAACGGAGGGAGUACUACAGUAGGCAAUCACACCAUAACUGAAUUUAUCACAAACAGAAAACAUUGUUUGGUACUCCCUCCUUCCAAAAAAUUUGGGCAUAUUAGAUUUUACAUGCAGUCCCAUAAUGCAGGGUGUGUAGUUAGCUACGUUUUUGGAAAUAAAAAAGGCGGUCGGUCCUCUGGUGCCGUUAGCACCCAAAUCGUGCAUGCCUUCCUUUUUUUUCUCCAAUUGUGGAUGGCUCCCUCGUACGAUGGCUCACGUAACUACCAGUGCGCUAAUUUUCGUGCUAAUACCUAAUACGCCCAAGAUUUUGGGAAGUAGGGAGUACUUGAUAGUGCUCCCAAGUUGGUGUAAUCAAGCAAGUACAUGGAUGAGCUCUUGCAAUAUUUUCUCUAAAAAAUUCAUAUACAAUUAUAUAAUCACGAAAAUGCAUGUUUAUCAAUAAAUCAACAUUACGUCAUACUUGUUCCUCUUGCAACUGAAUUCCAUAUGAAUUAUUCUCUUACAACAUAUCAAGGCAACAUAGUCUAUCAGGCAUAUGAGAGUGGCAUUCUCGUAAUCAACUAAGCACAAGGUUGAGCUCUUGUAAAUAUGAUACAUUGUCACUGACAGCGUGUGAAUAUUCCAUGAGAAGCUACAACUAUUGCAUGAGGUAAUCAACUAACACAGAUACUCAGCCAUUCCAGUUAUAAAAUAUAUCUCACGAGAUCUACACUUCCACAUGCAUAUAGAAAUAUAUGUCUAACCACAGAAAAUGUACGCACCAGUUUAGCCUACACAGAGUAAUAGUAAGUUACUAACAACAAAGAAUAACAGAGUAAAAAAAAAUCAAGAUCUAGCAUCAACCAUUAGUCCUUAAAGGUUUAAUUACUAAACAUUAAAAAUAUAGAGUUUGAAAUGAUUAGAUAACAAGUUAGUCCAAAACAGGGGGAAAAUAUUACACUUUCACGGCAUGAUAGUCUAUGUAUACAGAAGGACCUAUUAGUUUCUAGAUAACAGAGCACGAAUUUAAAUGAAAGAAUUAUAUGAUUCGCCUGUCACUGAAUAAAAAAGAUCACAUCUGGAUAAACACCUUAAAAUGUCUCUAAAUCAGGUCGUUUAGAGAAGAAUAAAAUCUUGCGCUACUGCGGAUAUAUUUAAUCUAGCACUGACCCUGGUCAGACAUGAAAAUCCUCUCAAAAUCCCCAUAUGUUGAGUUUCAGAAGUAACAAAGAAAGAGGCCUGCAAAGGCAGAAAAAUCCACAACAAAAAAACUAAUCUUCUGUACCUAACGCCAAAGAAAUAACACAGAUCAUUAGAUUAAUCAACCUUUGCCCUGAAUAACAAAGUUCAUCAGAAGCCCAUGCUGAAAAAGUGAAGAAUUCAUCUAAAAAACAAAAAAAUCAAGAAUACUCAAAUAUUUGCCCAAUCAUGGUAACACAAAAAGUGCAAGCAACAUUUCAAAACAGAAAGUGCAUAUCUAGCAACCAUGGUUUUUAACUUCACGCAGAUCUACAUGUAUAAGACUGAAAAACAAAUAUAACUCCCCUUUAAAUUUUCAAAUAGCAUGGAGAGCAAUGUAACAUAUCAUACUUAUAGAUAUAGAUAAGUACGAGAAGCACCUGACUAAUGAGUUCCACGACCAUUGUUCUUGCAAUCUCUAUUUGAUUCCAAUUCCCACUAAGUUGUAUUUUUCUUUCUGUGGAAAGAUCACCUUCGGGGAGAUGAUGCGGGAUUAACUACAAAAAAGAAUAUUAUUUUUCAUUUUGAAAUGAAUAAAAACAUCCAUGCAUAUAAUCAUAGCACUAACCUGAAUGCCAGCCCCAGACUUAGUUUCUAAAACUCAAUGGUCUCACCUCCCUCCCCAAUGAGCAUCCGAGCCUACAUAUUAUGAUAAAAGGAAAUAUAUCAGAGAUCUUAAGUAUGUUUUAUAGCCGAGAUAUUUUUUAAGGAUGACCUUCUCAUUUGGGGAUGGAUAAAGACAUCCAUGCAUAUAGUCAUAGCACUAUCCUGAAUGCCAGCCCCAGACUUAGUUUCUAAAAGCUCAAUGGUCUCACCUCCCUCCCCAAUGAGCAACCCAGCCUACAUAUUAUGAUAAAAGGAAAUAUAUCAGACAACUUAAGUAUGUUUUAUAGCUGAGAUAUUUCUUUAAGGAUGACCUUCUCAUUUGGGACAUGGAUGUCCACUUGCUCAGCAUCAGAUUGUGAAGUCCCAAAUCUUCUAGCGGUAGUGUAGAUGAAUCACCUACAUCAACCAAAGAAAGGAUAUGAUUUAAUUUGGAUCAGCUUCGUCCUAUUCCACAAUCUGGAUUUUAGCAUCUGAGGUGAUCUGCAGGCAUCUGAUAGUUUCUGCAGAUUUACCAAUCAAAACACCCACAUACAAUACACUUCUUCCACAGUUAGCUGACAGCUUAGCUAAACAAAAAUAGAAAACUGGUCUGAAAGUGGAUGUCAGCAAGUCGGUUCUGACUUCUGAGACUAAUAUGAAGUGCACGUACUCCACAACCUCUACUACCUUAGUACAUUGCAAGUUAAACAAAGACAAACCAUGAUUUUAUAAUCUGAAGCAGCCACUUCUGGCUCGUUCAUACCCAGGAAGAGAUGUUCUUGGACCUGUUAUUAGUAGAAGAUGGUGGAGGCUUACUUUGGCUGGUGUGGGCGAGUGGCUGCGACGUUCCUCGGCGGCGACAGAAACGCAAAGGUGGGGCUCCAUUCGCUGGCCACAGACUUUCUCAUCCCAUCCUCUAUGGUCGGGCUGGUGAAGAGAGAGCAGACGAGGCGAGUGAGGCCGACGACGGCGAAUGGCCCCUGGCCGACGGCGCCGUCCCCACGGAUGUUCCCCGCGCUAGGAUUGCUCACCUGCUCCUUCCCCGCUGUUGCUUGCCUUCCUCGCCGGCCUCCUCCUUCACCUUGUCGUCCGCAUCCUACCCCUCCCCUACAUCCUCACCCGCAUCGAGAAGACCCCGCCACCGCUACUCUCCCACAACGAUGACCUACAUCCGAUCUGGAUCGACGGUGACAUGGAAGCGGACAGGAAGAGGCAAGCAGUGGAGAAGGCCGGCGGUGGGAUCGACGACGACAUGGUAGAGGAGAGGAGUAGGCGAGUGGAGAGACGAGGCCGGCGGCUGCGGGCGAGGAGAGGAUCGUGGGGAUCGAGGGAGAGGUGCGGCGGCUGUGGAGAUUGGGGAGGGAGGGGUGCGGCGGCUCGUGGGGAUCGAGGGAAGGGAGAAAGCGGGCUAGGGUUCGUUUGGCGGCUGGGGUGGGAGUGGGGCGAGACGCGGGUGAUUGGGUGCGGGCGCCACGAGCUGAUGGGGCAAAACCAC
rnacentral:lncRNA from 1 species